CUCGCUACAACCCAGGAAAUUUUCAAAACUUUCAUUUUAAAUGUAAAUUGAAAUAUCAAAAUCAAAAUCAAAAUUUUAAGUUUGCAUUCAAAAUUUAGAUUCAAUUAAAAAUUUAAAUUUCAAAUUUGAAUUUCAAUUCAAAAUUUUAAUUCAGCUUUAAAUUCAAAUUCACAAUUCUAAUUUCUCGUUAGUUUAAAAUUUUAAUUUUAAUAUUAUUUUUGAAUUUAAAUUUAAAAUUUUGAAUUUUUUUUAGGGACUAAAAUAAAAAAUGUGCAAAGUUUAGGGACCAAAAUUGACAUGCAAAAAGUUGCCAAAUAGACGCUGACGUGGCGAUUUCGUUAAUUUUAACAGUUUUUUUAAUGGUUGGGACCUAAUUGCAAUAAAAUCAAGAGAUUAGGGACUCAAUUG
rnacentral:lncRNA from 1 species